CUGGGACAAGCCCUGGAAACGGGGUCUAAUACCGGAUACUGAUUGUCUUGGGCAUCCUUGAUGAUCGAAAGCUCCGGCGGUGCAGGAUGAGCCCGCGGCCUAUCAGCUUGUUGGUGAGGUAACGGCUCACCAAGGCGACGACGGGUAGCCGGCCUGAGAGGGCGACCGGCCACACUGGGACUGAGACACGGCCCAGACUCCUACGGGAGGCAGCAGUGGGGAAUAUUGCACAAUGGGCGAAAGCCUGAUGCAGCGACGCCGCGUGAGGGAUGACGGCCUUCGGGUUGUAAACCUCUUUCAGCAGGGAAGAAGCGAAAGUGACGGUACCUGCAGAAGAAGCGCCGGCUAACUACGUGCCAGCAGCCGCGGUAAUACGUAGGGCGCAAGCGUUGUCCGGAAUUAUUGGGCGUAAAGAGCUCGUAGGCGGCUUGUCGCGUCGGUUGUGAAAGCCCGGGGCUUAACCCCGGGUCUGCAGUCGAUACGGGCAGGCUAGAGUUCGGUAGGGGAGAUCGGAAUUCCUGGUGUAGCGGUGAAAUGCGCAGAUAUCAGGAGGAACACCGGUGGCGAAGGCGGAUCUCUGGGCCGAUACUGACGCUGAGGAGCGAAAGCGUGGGGAGCGAACAGGAUUAGAUACCCUGGUAGUCCACGCCGUAAACGGUGGGCACUAGGUGUGGGCAACAUUCCACGUUGUCCGUGCCGCAGCUAACGCAUUAAGUGCCCCGCCUGGGGAGUACGGCCGCAAGGCUAAAACUCAAAGGAAUUGACGGGGGCCCGCACAAGCGGCGGAGCAUGUGGCUUAAUUCGACGCAACGCGAAGAACCUUACCAAAGGCUUGACAUACACCGGGAAACGUCUGGGAGACAGGCGCCCCCUUGUGGUCGGUGUACAGGUGGUGCAUGGGCUGUCGUCAGCUCGUGUCGUGAGAUGUUGGGUUUAAGUCCCGCAACGAGCGCAACCCUUGUCCCGUGUUGCCAGCAGGCCCUUGUGGUGCUGGGGACUCACGGGAGACCGCCGGGGUCAACUCGGAGGAAGGUGGGGACGACGUCAAGUCAUCAUGCCCCUUAUGUCUUGGGCUGCACACGUGCUACAAUGGCCGGUACAAAGAGCUGCGAUACCGUGAGGUGGAGCGAAUCUCAAAAAGCCGGUCUCAGUUCGGAUUGGGGUCUG
rnacentral:rRNA from 1 species